rnacentral:tRNA from 1 species
CGGAUAGUAGUUCAGUCGGGAGAACACUUUGCGUGCAAAGAAAGUCAUAGGUUCAAGUCCUAUCUAUCCGA